UUCAUUUGUUCGAUGAAACCAAUAGAAAUAUACCACCACAGUCUCCUCCUCUGGCUUAAACCCGCCGCCACCAUCUCUCAAUCGCUACCAGCACUUCCUUCCAAAUCGCACCACUGCAACAACUGCAACAUCCAGUAUUGAGAUUCAUCGCCGCCGGACCGAGAACAAACGAAUCUAAAAUGAGAUCGAUUGUCGUUUUAGAUCUGCAUCUCCGUCGGUUCUAAAUUGUUGAUGGAGAUCAAAGGGGAUUUAGGUGAUUAUCUUUCUUCCCUGGUUUCAUUUUAUGCUCGUAAUUAAUGGUGGUAUUCUGAUUAGUUGUUUGUUAUUAUUGUUGAUGGUGGAUGGUGAAAUUGGUGAGAGAGAUUGUGGCGGUUCUGGUUUUAUGGGUGGUGGUGGAGAUUUGGUGGUUGGGAGAUGGUGAUGGUGGCGAUUGAAAGAAGAAAUGCAAAUGAUGAUGCUGUGGCGAGUUUGGAUAGAUCGGUAAAUAAAUGUUUAGAAUAGGAGUGAAUAGUUGCAGGAGAGAACAAGGUGAAAGGUGGAAGCACGUUGUUAUAAGGGAUUGAAUUGAACCUUAGCCUAACGAAGAACCGUUUGAUCGGGGCUGCGCGUUUUCACGAAUGGUUGUAAAAGGGUGUCCUAGUGGCUGAGAGACAUUUUUUUCGUUUUAAUUGGUGCUUCAGAACGAUUUUGAUCCGGUAAAUUGUAAAAGCAAGUACAUUCAUGUUUUUGUCAAUCGAAUGAACAUGAUUGAAAUUGUUUUA